rnacentral:lncRNA from 1 species
CCUUGAUGGACCAAAGGGCAAAUGGUGGUGGACGGCUCCUCUCUCUUCGCUGCAGGUGAGAAAGAUUCUGAAGAUCUUUGUACCAACAGCUAUCAGACUUUAAAACUCUUGUGUAAAUAAUAGAUAACUUUUAUAGACAUAUUACGUGAGACAACAGACAAUUGAAUUUCCCUUCGGGGAUCAAUAAAGUUCUUCUUCUUCUUCUUCUUCUUCUUCUUCUUCUUCUUACCUAUUUUCAAACUACUUCUAGUACUUCAACUUAAACUUAUGCCACUUCUCACUUUUCUGUGUUUUAAGGUAAUUUUCUUCCUUAUCCAUUUUUUUGCAAUUUCAGACAGUUUUUCUAGCCUUAUUCAGCAUGAAUGCAAUUUUAAUUUAUGAACCACAUUCAUACUAUUUGUACUUUCAUCUAACUUCUACUUCUGUUUCUCCAGCCCUUUAACCAAUUUUACAUUUAAACCUUCCUCCAUUUUUUUUAGCAGUUUUGCAUUGCUUUUUCAGCUUUCAGCACUCAGCACUUCCACGCAUUUUCUGCAAUGAAAUGCAAUUUUUCUAUUUUCUAUUAUUAUUCUUCCGUACCUUUUUUGCAACUUUAAUUUCUUCUUUUUUUUUUUCCUUAUCCAUUUUUUUUUUUUUUUUUUUUGCAAUUUCAGGCAGUUUUUCUAGCCUUAUUCAGCAUGAAUGCAAUUUUAAUUGUAGAAGCACAUUCAUACUAUUUGUACUUCAGCAAUUUUCACUUUCAUCCAACUUCUACUUUUUUUUCUCCAGCUCUUUAACCAAUUUUACAUUUAAACCUUCCUCCAUUUUUUUAGCAGUUUUGCAUUGCUUUUUCAGCUUUCAGCACUCAGCAUUUCCACGCAUUUUCUGCAAGGAAAUGCAAUUUUUCUAGUUAGUAUUGAAGUCUAGUUGUCACGUGUUAAACUACAACAUUAAAACUGUAGUGCAGUAAAUCCACAUUAGCAGGAGAACUCUCAAAACAGGAUACUUAUUUGCUCUGAACUCUGUAUCAUUCAGAAACAAGAACCACACAAGGUCCAUGUCAGUCCACAUCAACCACACAGAUCUCUCAAAGCUCAGUAUUACAGAGUCACUGUUAGAUGGAGUUAGAAAAUGUAAGAAGGAAACAAGGAUAUUUUCAAGGGAGUCUAUGAAGGCAAACACAUGAAAAACAAACCAUCUGUUUAUCAUUCCCAGCCUCAGGUUAAUUAUAUUCGAACAGAGAAAUCUUCUCAACAACCUGUAAGGACUGAGUAACAGUAAAGCUGUAGUCAUUUCUCCUGAAGUAAAUUGAAUCUGUGACAUCUAUUUAUACAGAGAUAUAGUUCAUAUAGGAUUAACAGGACAAAUAUCUGGAUAAAAUAUCCAGAUAUCCAUAACACAAACUAAACAGAAAUUAACAUCAGUUUUAUGAACAGCACUUUUAUUUUUUGAUGCAAAUGCCAUUCUUUGUAGGCAAUAAGUGACUGCAAUUACACUUACCUAGUUGUUGUAAUACAAAAUGAGCAAACAGUAAAAAUACACGCCUAUACAGAAGAAAACAGCAAGAAAAAAUACAAUAAUUAAAUACAAAUAAUAAAAUUCAAUGAAAGAGAAAUGUUUACACCUGAUCAAACUUAUCUUACCUAAGUAACACAGUGUAUAUCCUAUUUGGUAUGAAACUUGUCCAUGUGUAAUAAUCAGUAAAAAAACAAAACAAAAAAACAAAAAAAAAACAUGUAGAUGUCCUGUUGUAUAACACCGUAAAUCUUAGCCUAACAUUUUUCAUAAAACAUACCAUCUUAUGACUUAAAGCUCAGGAAUUUCUGUCUGUUAAAAUUUAUAUUUGAGGGGCAGAUUGUUUUCUGAUUAUUUUUAUUGUAAUUAUUAGGUCUAAAUUGAAAAAAGACGAGAAAUUGAAUCAAACAAAGCUGUCAUCUUAAUUAACACAGAAAUGAUUAUGACAGCUGUACGAACAGAACAGACAGACGAGUAACCUCCGUGUUUACCAUUACAUAUUCAAAGUAUGCGCACUGUAUUCACGGAUAUUUUUCUUGUAUUUUCUAAAACUUGUGAGCAGGCAAAAGGCUGGUCAAGGUCGGCGGUGAGGGAGGGGAGAGAAGAAACGUAGAGGUUCUGUAACUCACUGUAGCAAUCAAUUGAAAUCUCACCGCCAUCGGACCAACCAAGAAAACCAACAGGCAGUCGGAGAUUUUAUACCGGAAUAAUAUAGCUUUAUUUUUCACACGCGGUAGGAAACGUUAUUUUCUAAAUUGCGCUAACGUUGCUGAGCGUGAGAUUUUCUUGCUUUUUCUACACACAGAAUACAAUUUAUAGCCGACAAUGAGCUUAAAUUUGUCAUAUAUAAAUCCCUGGGCGCAAUGAAUGCUGGGAACAGUAGUCACAUGGAAACGUCCCGGUUAAUACAGCAGCAUAUUAACCAAUCAGCAGCAAGUAACGGGGGCGCCAGCAGCUCACAUUUCGUUUAUACCUGCAGAGGUACAUACACAGGUAUUUCUUAAGUGUUAGUGAGUUAAAUUAUUACCACUGUUGAAAAUGUAAAUGAAUUACUACAACACACUGUAAGUUGCUGCAGCUCUGUUCACCUCCAGCCAGCAGAUGGCGAUAUAACUCCAUGCUGAGCAUAUUUAACUCCGUGACCCAGAGAACCAGUUUACCUAUACCUGGGGUGUUUCUCAAUUCACUGAUAUGGAUCUACAUUAUUUAUUAUUAUUAUUAUUUUUUUUUUUAAAUAAAAGUAAAUGUAAGAUAUCCUUGUCAUCAGAUUUUACAGUUAGGCUUUCAGAGUUAGCCAUGAUGCUAACCUGUGAUUAUUAUAUGUUACACUCAGACUUCUAACUCAGCCCUGUGACUGAUGUUUCAGAUUUUUGUCAAUUAAUUUUCUUCAAGUUUAUCAGUAUGAUGUUGGAUCUGUGUGCGGGUUGUAUGGUGAUGGAGUAAAUUUAUCACGAAUCAGUAAUAUAUUCACUCUGAACAUUGAAACACAUAAAAACAUAAAACUCUCCGUAAACAGUGUCUGUAAGCAGUUUAACUAUCACCUGAACAGACACAGUAUGGACCUAUUAUCAGAUUAUAAGACAUGUUGACAAUUGAAGCUUAUAAUCAGAAUAUAUUUACUUUUAAUGUUUGUUUCUGUGCUGUUUUGCUUCUGUGUGUAUUUUCACAUUUGAUGUUGUGUUAUUCUAUGAAGUCCCAAACCCCACUAAUAUUAGAAAUGUAAUUAAAACUUCUGGACCCAUUUUAAGCAUUUCACCAUGAGAGUACAGGACUUUCUUAUAGGUCUUGGUGUGACACAUGUUCCUUAGUUUUCACACAUGCAUGUACUUUUUAACCCCAGUGGAGGGGACAAACUUUUUGAAGAUUUUGGGGGUGUUGUGGGGCCAGUUUUGCUAUAUAUUCUUUUUUUGAUAACUCAAAGCCCAAAUAAUAACACGUUUUUUUACCAUGCCCAAUGUGUGAUUUUGUGAAGUUUUGGGGCAUUUUAAGCAAGGAAGUUGAAAAAUUGGGGGCUCCAGUGUACGCAGGCCCUGAAAAAGAGUGGUGAUUGUGUGUGUAGAAAUGGUAAAGGUUAUUCUGACUGAAUCACAGGGAGUUGACUGUGCACUCACAUCCGACUAAUACACUCAGUGAGGUGGAGCCGUCUGUGUAUGUGUGUGCUUGCACGCAUGUGUGUGUAAAUGUGAUUAUAACAUCAUUUGAUGGAGGCUGCUGGUGUCAGAGUGUCUGUAAUUUAGAGGAUUGAUUUACACUUAGUCAUGUGAUCAGCAGGCUCUUGAUGUCACUCUGAUCAAGUUUGUGACUCAACUGAAGAUAUCAUGAUGAUGAUAAUAGUAUAAUGUGGUAUGAGAGGUUUCAGCUGCUGCAGAUCAUAAAAAAAUCUUAAAGUUUUUAACCCUUGAGAAAAACCUUCGCAGUGAAAAUGAGCAGUCAUAUUAUUCCUGCUAACCCCCAUCUGCACUUAUGAAAAACAGUUUAGGUUUUCUCACUCUCAAAACAGGCUGCAGACACAGCACCUCCUUCUCAUCACUGAAGAUUUCAACCAUGCCUCUUCUUCCUCAACUCUGCCCAAUAUCUAUCUGAGAUCUGGGGCAUACUCCACAUCUCCUCUUCCUCUUAGGAAGAUCUGAUCAUACAAAACCCAAUUCCAUUGAAGUUGGGAAAUUGUGAUAAACGUAAAAACAGAAUAAAAUGAUUUGCAAAUCCUUUUCGACCUACAUUCAAUUUAAUACGCUACAAAGACAAUAUAGUUAAUGUUCAAACUCAUAAACUUUUUUUGUUGUUGCAAAUAAUCAUAAACUUUAGAAUUUGAUGGCAGCAACACGUGACAAAGAAGUUGAGAAAGGUGGCAAAAAAUACUGUGAAAUUUGAGGAAUGCUCAUCAAAGAGUUCUUCUUAGUCUUAUUAGUUGGAACAUCCCACAGGUGAGCAGGUUAAUUGAGAACAGGUGGGUGCCGUGAUUGGGUAUAAAAGCAGCUUCCCCAAAAAUUCCCAGUCGUUCACAAGCAAGGAUGGGGCGAGGUUCACCACUUUGUGAACAACUGCGUGAGCAAAUAGUCGAACAGUUUAAGAACAACGUUUCUUAAAGUACAAUUGCAAGGAAUUCAGGGAUUUCAACAUCUACGGUCCAUAAUAUCAUCAAAAGGUUCAGAGAAUCUGGAGAAAUCACUGCACGUAAGGGACACGGCCUGAAACCAACAUUGAAUGCCCGUGACCUUCGAUCCCUCAGGCGGCACUGUAUCAAAAACCAACAUCAAUAUGUAAAGGAUAUCACCGCAUGGGGUCAGGAACACUUCAGAAAACCACUGUCAGUAAAUACAGUUUGCUGCUACAUCUGUAAGUGCAAGUUAAAACUCCACUAUGCCAAGCGAAAGCCAUUUAUCAACAACAUCCAGAAACGCCACUGGCUUCUCUGGGCCCCAGCUCAUCUAAGAUGGACUGAUGCAAAGUGGAAAAGUGUUCUGUGGUCUGAAGAGUCCAUAUUUCAAAUUGUUUUUGGAAAUAGUGGAUGUCGUGUCCUCUGGGCCAAAGAGGAAAAGAACCAUCCAGACUGUUAUCGACGCAAAGUUCAAAAGCCAGCAUCUGUGAUGGUAUGGGGGUGCAUUAGUGCCCAAGACAUGGGUAACUCACACAUCUGUGAAGGCAACAUUAAUGCUGAAAGGUACAUACAGGUUUUGGAGCAACAUAUGGUGCCAUCCAAGCAACGUCUUUUUCAUGUACGCCCCUGCUUAUUUCAGCAAGACAAUGCCAAGCCACAUUCUGCACGUAUUACAACAGCGUGGCUUCGUGGUAAAAGAGUGCAGGUACUCAACUGGCCUGCCUGCAGUCCAGACCUGUCUCCCAUGUGUGGCGCAUUAUGAAGCGUAAAAUACGACAACGGAGACCCUGGUGUUGAACAACUGAAGCUGUACAUCAAACAAGAAUGGGAAAGAAUUCCACCUUCAAAGCUUCAACAAUUAGUCUCCUCAGUUCUGAAACGUUUAUUGAGUGUUGUGAAAAAGAAAGGUGAUGUAACACAGUGGUAAACAUGCCCCUGUCCCAACUACUUUGGCACAUGUUGCAGCCAUGAAAUUCUGAGUUAAUUAUUAUUCUCAAAAAAAAAAAAAAUAAAGUUUAUGAGUUUGAACAUUAAAUAUCUUGUCUUUGUAGUAAAUUCAAUUGAAUAUAGGUUGAAAAGGAUUUGCAAAUCAUUGUAUUCUGUUUUUAUUUAUGUUUAUCACACUUUCCCAACAUUUAUGGAAUUGGGUUUUGUACAUAAUCUGGUGCGCGUCCAGCCAGCGUACAAACCUCGGGUCCACAGACAACCAGCAGUGACACACACAGUUAAAAGAUGAUCUGAAGAGGCUCUAAAAGAUGGUUUUGCUUCAACUGUGUGGGAAGUGUUCUGUGAGGAUCACGGGGGGGACAUUGACAGUCUCACACACUGCAUCAUGGACUAAACGGAUUUCUGUGUUGACAACACUGUUCCCAUCAAAAUGGUACAGUGUUUUGCCAACAACAAGCCAUGGAUCACUCCUGACAUAAAACCUCUCUUGAAGGACAAAAAGAGGGCUUUUCAGUGUCAACAAGGAGAAGAUAAAGACUGUACAGAAGGAACUCGGGAGGAAGUUCAGAGAGGGAAAAAACUGCCAUAGGAGGAAGAUAGAGGACCAGCUGCUGAGAGAAAUGUCAGUGGAUUUUGGAGGGGCCUAAAAACCAAUCUGUGGUCACAAGGCCUCAACAGCUGUGUCAAUAAGGGACCAGGAUUAGGUGGGCAACCUGAACACCUUCUUUAACUGGUUUAAACAGCCAGCCACCCCUCCCCCUGCCCAACCCAACCCAUCCUACUGCAACCACCACCAUUCACACCUCCUGCUGACUCUAUGACCCCCGCUCUCACGACUCUCCCUGUCAUACCCUCACAACCCCCCCUACACAUCCUCUGCUUCCCUCUGAGUGGCCUACACCCAUCAGCACUCAGUCGCCCAGCUCCAGCCUGUCCUUCUCCAUGUCCCAGGUAGAGAGCAAACUGAAGAGGCUGAAGGUCAGGAAGGCUUCAGGUACAGAUGGCAUCAGCUCCUCAGAUCCUGCACAGACCAGCUGUGUGGUAUUAUGGAGCACCUUUACACCAUAAGCCUGAAGCUAGGCAGGGUGCUCCUGCUGUGGAAGACCACCUGUGUGGUACCAGUGCCAAAUCUCCCUCACUCCCAUGACUUCAACCAUGACAGUCCAGUGGCACUGACAUCACACCUUCUGGAGACCCUGGAGAGACUGGUCUUGUGUCAUCUUUUCCCCCCUGGUGAGCUCAUCAAUGGACCCGCUGCAGUUCGCCUAUCAGCCAGGCAUCAGGGUGGAUGAUGCUGUUAUCCUGCAAUGAUCUCUCUCUCACCUGGAUAGGACUGGGAACACUGUGAGGAUCCUGUUCUACAAUUUCUCCAGUGCCUUUAAGGCUGUACAGCCUGGCCUAACAGAGGGUUAUAUAUCUCCACUUAUUCUCUUAAUUUCAAUAUUUUUCAGCAGAUGAAAAAUGAUCAAACAGAUUUUAAGAUGAAAAUCUUGUGCUGACAGACACCGUUUCUGAGGGUUUGUUUACAGUAUUUGACAAAUGUGGCUGAGUCUGAUCAUAACGUUAAAGUUCCAGUUUCACUUCAGCUCUUUAGGGUUUAAAACAAGAGAUAAACUGAUGUAGAAGCACUGAUGUCAUACUAAACUCUAUAUACAGUUGGAGCUGGAGUCUGAUUCAUCGAGUGUUUGUGCUGUGAGCCGAUAACAAACAGGUUCAAUAACCAUAAAGACUUCAGACAUCAAACAUCACUUUAUCUCCUUUUCCAUCAUCUUUUACCUGCUCCUUCAGUCAAGUGUACUCACCUCCUGAGGACAAACUGAAACCAUAAAAACCUGAGAGACAUCACAAAGCUGCAUUCAGCACCCUAAGGGGUUAUUUUAGGAGGAAUAAAAGGUUUAACAUCAGAGGAGAGGGAAGUUGUUCACUGGAGCAAACAGCAUCAUAAAAAAGAUUAACACCAUCGAAAAAAGCUAAAAGAAUAAUAGAAAUUAACCUAAUUUAAUAAACAGCAUCACAAGCUGAUGAUGGAGCUGCAGGGCGGAUCAUAAAUAAAAAGUUUAAGAUGUUCAAAUUACUAAGUCUCUGUUCAGGUUGUUUUUUUUAUGUUUGCCCUGAGCCAUCAAACACAAUGUGCAGAAGGUUUUAGAUUAUCAAAUCAGUAUUAAUGCUAGAAGACUGAAUAUCAAAGCUCAGACUGUAAGAAUGAGAGGUAUUGCGAAGACAUCCUACAAACCAAAAAAGACCCUGGAGUGAAAGUGAGGAUACUGGGACAGGACCUGGGUGACAACUCAAAGGCUUCCAAACAACAAACUAGAACCCAACAAGUGAAACUGUCCUAAUACUGUCACCAUUACAUCAUUUCACAAGUAGAGUUGACUCAGAGGAGGAUUGAAAACAUAGAUUGUAUAAAACAUCAGAUUCCUGAUCAGAUGAAUCAUCCUCCUUCUGCUGCUUCUCCUGAAUCACCUCUCCGUCUUUUUGCAUUUAAAGGAUUUCUUCAACAGCAGCUGACCAUCACAAUAACUCACUCAUAAAACACCAUUUAACAUUGUCAGAGAUCUGUGUAUGAGUCAUUAAACACUGAAUAAUUUAAAGCGUUAAAAAUAAGUUCUUCUCAUUCAGUCUCUGGGGUCUUCUUAAUGAGCAGCUCAGCGGUGAUCAGUGAGUCUGUCCGCUGCUGAGGGAGAAUAAUGUGUGGAUAAUAAUCAGACAGUAAAUGUUUAAUCGUCUGUUUCUGAUUUAUAAAAGUAAAACGGGACAGAGCUGUCAGCAGUCUGAGUCAGUCUCAUCACAUCUUCAUUAACCAACAUCCUGAGAAUAUCUCCAUCAGCACUCUUACCCAUCAUGCAUCUAGGCGUUCCUGUCUCUCAGUCCGCAGCAGGAACACUUUAGAUAAUGAAUAUGAGCGGGAGGUUGCAGAUCUUUACUGCAGAGAGACCCUCUGUCUGCAUCCAGAAACAACAUCAGCAUCUCUUCUUUCAUUAGCAGGUUUAAUAAAAAGGGUUCAAUGAGGAGGUCUCUGUCCGUGUUUAAAAACUAGGCUUGUGUGUCAUCAGUCCACUUAUAAGAAGAUGUCUUCAUAUAUUUUUGAAAGUCCACUUUAUGUGAACAUCCAUGACUAUGUGAGGCCCUGCCUGUCUCCUCUAUGAUCAGGAUUAUUGAUAAAAUUAUUGCAAAAGGGAAACUAUGAACCAAGCUGGUCCAGGAAAAACAGGCCCAAAAUGGCAGCAUAUGUUUCCCCCAAACCUUUAGCAUUGAUGGAGCCUUCACAGAUGUGACAGUUAGCCAUGGCAUGGGCACUAACAAACUCUCAGACCAUCACAGAUACUGGCUCUGAACUUUCACCUUAUAACAAUCUGAAUGGUCCUCUUCUUCUUAAGACCUGAAGACACCACAUCCAUGAUUUUCAAAAACUGUUUGAAAUGUGGACUUGUUAGACCACAGCAGACUUUUCCACUUUGAGUCAGUCCAUCUCAGAUGAGCUUGGGACCAGAGAAGCUGGAGGGGUUUCUGGUUGUUGUUGAUAUCUGUCAUUUUCUUUGCAUGGUAGAAUUUCAACUUGGAGAUGUGGAGUUGAACUGUGUUAAGUGAAUGUUACCCCUGAGUGGUCCACAUUGUAAAAUCCUUUACAGAAUGAUGUCAGUUUUUAAUGCAGUCCUGUCUGAGGGGUCAAAGGUCACAGUCAGUUCAUGUUGGAUUUAGACCUCUCUGCUCACGUGUGGAGAUUUCUCUAGAUUCUCUGAAUCUUUUGAUGGUAUUUUCUAUUCUAGAUGAUCAAAUCUCUAAAUUCCUGCUGUUGUACAUUGAGAAACAUUGUUCUUAAACUGUUGGACUAUUACUGAUGCAGUUGUGGACAAAGUGGUGAACCUUGCCCCAUCCUUGUUUAUGAAUGACCGAACCUUGGGAUGCUCCUUUUAUACCCAGUCAUGACAUCCCCCGUUUCCAAUGAACCUGUUCACCUGUGGAAUGAUCCAAACAGGUGUUUUUGGAGCAGUCUUCAGUUUCCCCAGACUUUUGUUGACCCUGCUCCAACUUUUUUUGGAAGGUGCAGCAGCAUCAAAGUCAAAAUGUGUGAAUAUUUGCCAAAAAGAGUUUAUCAGUUUGAACUUUAAGUAUCUUGUCUUUGAGGUGUAUUCGGUUGAAUAUAGAUGGAAAGGGAUUUGAAAAUCUUUGUAUUCUGCAUUUAUUCAUCUUUUACUCAAUGUCCCAACUUCAUUGGGAGUGGGGUUUAGAUGAAAAUGCAUUUUGGGCUACAUUUGUUGUUGUCACCUGACAGUCUGAACAACUUAGUUUAGACAGAGAGAUGAGAUGACAUUAUUGGUGCACUUUCAUGGGGUGCUGGAUUGUCUACCCAGUACAGACGAAACCAAUUACAUUUUAUUGUCACAGAGUAGUCACAUCAGCUAAUAUGCUUCUCAAAUAAAUAAUUAUUAAGUCAUUGUUUUUCACUCAUCAUUUAUGAAUUUAUUUGCAACUGCAUCUGCACUGUAAGGAUUUCAUGCAGCUUCUUGACCUGGAGUGUUAUUUAUGAGAUUGUUUCUUGAAUACCCUAGUGAUAAACAAACAAAUGCCUUUGAGAAGUAACACAGCAGGGGGGAUAUGAAUAAGAAUUAUAAUAAUCUUGAUUCUAUUUUGAAGAAAAUCUCAAUCCUCUUUGCAAUGUGACAUUAGAUGUUAAAUAAUGUUGCUGUAUUCACUCAGUGUAAUUCACUGUUUGGAGAACAUACCCUGCCUUUGUCUUUUUGCAACUUCUUUUUCUGCUUGGGAAAGUCUGAACCCUCCUCUCUGUUUCUCACCUUGAGAAAUGCAGAGUGAAACUUUCCUCUUUCCCAGGGUCCAGUAUGAACUUUAGGGAAAAAUCCUGCAAGAUGUCCUGAUCUUAAGAACUUUCCAAGAAUCUUGUUCCUUGAAUCAACCCUUUGUUUCAGGAAUCUUUAUGAAUACAGCCCCUGAUGUUUUUCUCUGGUUAAACAGAGCUAAAAUGAGAAAUGCAUUUAUUCAGCUCUAUGGUAUUGUGUAUUCAGAAAUAUCAAGUGUAUGACAGUAUAUCCACUGUCUUGAUGGUGAAAUGAUUUGGUAUUUGACCCUCAAAGAAUUUCUACAAUUAGAUUAAUUCACUACCCACCAUGCAAUUGUGUAGUUAGAACUGUAUUUCUCUAAAACUGAUCUGGCAGUGUUGAAGGCUCAGCUCCAGCAGAACAAAACCAUCUUAGGUGUUAAAUCUGUGUGCUAUCCAUGCUCUAGUAGUAAGAUGUCAUGAAAACCAACCAGAUUUGGCCUUUUUAAUUGCAAGCUUGUCCACAAACCAGUGCGACGAAUGUACCCACAGAAUCCUGCCAAGUGUCUAUGGGUGUUCAGUAGUGACCACAUUAAAAACAUGGGGUUAAAACCAAAGUUCACACAAGGAAAAAGGAAAUAUGUGAAAUCCAUAGAUUCUUAACUUUUAUUGUUCAUGUACUAUACAGAGUCUAAAGGUAAAACAAGGUAAGGAAGGAAGAUUAUAUUCAUGACUGGAGGGAGGUGAUUAUACUGCAAUUGUCCCAGCAUUUUUUAGUGUGUCCUUCGCAUCAGAAAGGACAUAAUACUUCUGCUUGAUUGGCACACUCAGACUCAAAAGUACCCAAAAAACACGAAGAAGACAAAUAUGGCAACAGUGGAAAAGAUAUCAAUCAGCUAUCUGCAGAAACAAAGUCAGAGUCUGCGUCCAUGUCACCAUUUAAAUGUUUCACAACAUAUGAACAGAGAAUCAACUUUUCAAAGUAUGAUGUUAUUUUAUGUCUAACACAGUGUAUGGUCUACCAAAUCAUAAAGUGUGCAAAGAAUAUCUAGCAGAUUUGUUUGAGCCCUUCAUGCACCCAUCUCUGCAGACUUAGCGUGAAUGCAUUACCCAGAAGUCAUAGCAUUGCAAUGUAACCAUGGGAUCUCCAGGGGAAGCCCACAAGCGAAGAGGGGAAAAGAACACCAUGACACAGAAAUUCAAAAGAAUAUGGUAAAUAUGAAGCAUGGAAGGUGCAAUGUUGACACUUAAGAAAUAAGUUUGGCUGUAAGUAUAAAUUAAAAAAAAGGCCAAGUCACAAUGAUACGACUGUUGUUACCUCAGCAAAAAUGAUGAGAAGCUCAUUCAUAAGAAAACCUAAAAUUGCCUCUAAAUUGUAAGACUCAGACAGUGUUUUCUUUACCUAUUUUUCAAUUAAUGAAAAUAUUGCAAAAUCACCCUUAGUGCGAGAUAAGUCAAUUUUUGGCCAUACAGCAAAACUUUGUAAUGAACAGAAAAUAAAACAGUUGCAUCAAAGUUUCAGGGCAUGACUUUUUAAACCGAGAUUCUUAUUGGAAAAAUGUAUUAAAAAGGACUGUGCAAAACCCAUACCCUAAAGAUAACCUCGUCUGCAGUCGCUCAUAUCUCUUCAUGGUACAGCCCUCUGGUCAAUGACACACAUAUAUGCACACAAGCACAGAUGGUGUCUCAGUGGGAAUGAUGGCCUUUCACACUCUGAGGACUCUCAGUUUGUCCUCUUGCAGCCCUCACUACAUUUGUCAUUUUCUUCUUCUUCUUCUUCUUCUUCUUCUUCUUCUUCUUCUUCUUCUUCUUCUUCUUCUUCAUCUUCUUCUUCUUCUUCUUCUUCUUCUUCACUUUUUCCUCUUCCUUGCUUUCUUUUUUCACUUUCUCACUUGUUAGUUCAUCCUCAGACUGCAUGGGUUCAUUAAGAUUUGAUUCUCUGAGUUUGCUUCAGAGUGUUUACCUCUCUGUGUGAGUGCAGGGUGAGUGGACAGUUUUUAUUUCUCCAUGAGUUAAAAAGAGACUGGCACUUUUAAAGUCUGUCACAUCUAGAUGAAGGUUGAUGGUUCCUCUCCCUCUCAAUGUUUCUGAACUACGAGCAGAGAGUACACAGUGUCUGUGCUGCAGUCUCUUUAAUCAAAUUGGAGUCAGAGUGAAGAGGAGAAAUGCUUAUUUCUCUGUCAUCCAGCUGCUCUGAGCAGUAAAUAUUGAUCCCAGGUUAAAGCCAAUCAGAGUAAUGGAGGCCUGGCUUUGGAUGCAGUUUAUAGAAUAAAGAUGGAGGAGAGUUCAGAGCGGCUGGUCCUGAUUUAAAGAGCUCCACUGUCUUACUGAAAUAAGCCUUUAAUACGUCUUAGAGAGGAUAAAGCACAUUAUACAGCACCCAGCCCCAUCCUGAGCAAGGAGAUCUGCUGCCAAUGCUCCAAGCCCUCAGCCAGGAUCCAACAGAGCCAAGAAUUAACAAAACCAGGACCAGACAAAGCUGGGAUCAAACAGAACCAGGAAUGAACAGAACCACGACCAAAAGCAAAAUCCAGUGCAGAGCAAGGAGAGUGUCAGGUCUCAGACUGUCAGGAUACACAGCGAUGUAUUUUUGAAGAGAAAAGAAAGUGUAGGGAGUCGGUGUAGUCUCUGUCUAAAAGAAAACAUAAUGGUCCAGGGGACGAUGCCUGCAGGUCACAACUACGACUCAUUUGUGGCAAUGUUGAGAAGGAGGAAGAAGAUGAAGGAGAAGUAAUUGGCUCAUCUACUGGUUGGAACAGAAAAUGGAAUCAUCAUCUUUCACCAGAGUAUUCACUGCAUGAACGAAAGAGAAACACCCAAUUCAAUCAGUUUUGGGAGUUUCUGCUUUUGCUUUACUGUUCAUUUAAUAAAAAAAAAGUUUCCCACAGAAGCGCCCAGUAGGAUCAUCUAGGAUCCAGUAUGUUGUCCUUUAAAUGAGAUCAAUGAAUAAGUACUUCAGAGAAAGAUGAGAGCAAGAUUCUGCAAAGCGUUGCCCCAGUUACACAGCCACUGACUGAGGCACUUUAUGAUUCCUCCUGUUUUUGGUGUAUAAGUUGGUCAUUUUUGCUUUCAUACUUCAAAACAAACUGUACCUGGAAGUAAGCUGAGACCAGAGUUCAUGUGUUCGGUCUGUGAUUUACUCUUGCCCUCAGUCUCUCUGAAGCAAAGAGCGAAGAUGUUACCUUGAACGUGAUCAUGUUAACCUUUACCUGUGAGGGUGAUGACUGUUCACUGACACAUUGACGCUGGUAGUUAAUCAGGACAGAACCAGUGUGUAUGUGUUUCCUGCAGAUGGUAAACUCUACAGGGGGCUGAUUCAUUUAAUUCAGGGAGCCAUGAUGCUCUGGGCAAAGCCUAAACACCCCCCCCCCCACACACACACACACACACACACACACACACACUUAGAGUUAUUUUUUUUACCAGCUUAGUGGAAUAAAGACAGAUCUAAUCUUCCUUUCUCUAUAGUAACUGAAACCAAACUCACUUCUUUUCAAAAUAAAUCACCCCCGCCUUUCAAAAUAAAUGUGUGAUGUUUGUUCACACAAUCCUGUGUUAGUGGGGAAUGUAAACAGUCUGACAGUUUCACCUUACAUCAACAUUGGGACCCCUGUGGCCCUCAGUUUCACUCUGAACCCUGACUCUGCUCUGUGAAGAGGUUUGACAGGACUCACACAGGGGCACACACUGAUACACACGUGUUUGUGUGUUUGUGCAGGCGUGAAUAUGUAUGUGUGGGGGUGCAUGUGCAAGGGGGCAAGUUUGCAUAACAUACAUACACAAACGUGUGAGUACACCCUUCAUAUGACUGACAUAUAAGUAUGUGUGUGUGUGUGUGUGGGGGGGGGGGGGGGGCAGGCUCAUGUUUUCAGUUUAAUAUUUCAUAUUCUGUCAGGGUUCAAGCCAAAAUGAAACUUAUUUUAUAACAAACACUCAAGAAUACAGCAAAAACUUUCAGAAAACACACUGAGGUGCUGGUAUGUAAAGACCUAGAUGUGGUCAUUGACACCACUUUUAUGUUUGUCUGAAUAUUCAGGGUGUGUAAUGAUUUAGAUAAAGUAAUAAAGCCAAGAUCUUAGCACCAAGACUAAAGUCAUUUUGAAAAAUCUAGCCUUUAGACUUUGUCUUAAAUCAACCGCUUCAUCUAUCAGCCUGUCUCAACUCAGAAAACAUGUUCAAACAUGAACUUUAUCCCAGUGUAAACAUCACCCUGCAUGACAUCACAUACAGGGUUUAAGGCAGAGUAAAAUCCAUGCUUUCACGAUGUGUAAGCCACAUUCUGACCCUACCAUCUGAAUGCCAUGAGACUUAUCAAACCAGGCAACAUUUCUCCAAUCUUUUAUGGUGAGCCUGUGUGAACUGUCGCCUCAGUUUCCUUUUCUUGGCUGACAGGUGUGGGACCUGGUGUGGUCUUCUGCCGCUGUAGUCCAUCUGUUUCAAGGUUUGCCAUUUUGUGCAUUCAGAGAUGGUAAUCUGUGUCCCUUGGUUCUAACGGGUGGCAAUUUUGACUUAUUGUUGCCCUUCUAUCAUCUUACACCAGUCUGGUCCUCUGACCUAUAACAUCAACAAGGUAUUUUUAUCCACACACAUGCAGCAUCCUGGAUAUUUUCUAUUUUUCAGACCAUUCUCUGUAAACCCUUGAGAUGGUUGCGGGUGGAAAUCUCAGUAGAUCUGCAGUUUGUGAAAUACUCAGACCAGCUUGUCUGGCACCAACAAUCAUGCCAUGUUGAAAGUCUCUUAAACCCCCUUUUCCCCAUUCUGAUACUGAACUUCAGCAAAUUGUUUUGACCACAUCUAUAUGUCUAACUGCACUGAGUUGCUGCCUGUGAUUGGCUGGUGAGCUAUUUAUUUUAACAAGCAAUUGAACAUAACCUAAUGAAGUGGCCAGUGAGUGUGUAUUACUCGUCCAUCCAUCCAUCCAUCCAUCCAUCCAUCCAUCCAUCCAUCCAUCCAUCCAUCCAUCCAUCCAUCCAUCCAUCCAUUAAUCAAUUAUCCAUCUACACUGCAUAAAUCCAUGCAUCCAUUAAUACUUCAUCCAUCGAUCUAACAUCUAACCAUGCAUCAGUCUAGCCCUCAUCUAUCUGACAUCCAUCCACACAACCAUCCAACAUUCAUUCAUCCAUCCAACAUCCAACUGUACAUCCAUCCAUCUGGCUCCCCUUACUUCCAUCUAGCCAUCCAUCCCUAUAACUAUCCAUCAUCAAGUCUUCCAUAAAUCUAUACAUUAAUUUGUGUGUGUGACACCCAUCCCUUAUUCAUUUACCAAUCCAAGAGUGAUGUAUCCAUCCAUCCAUCCAUCCAUCCAUCCAUGCAUGUGGCAUCUGUUAACCAUUUAACCAUCAGUUUGUCCAAUCAUUUAUCUACAGAUCCAUUGAUCAUCUAUCCAUCCAUUACUUCAUCCAUCCAUUCAUCUCUCUGGCGGCAAUCAAUCCAUCUGUUCAUCCAUCCAUCAUCCAUCCAUGUUUUUUUCUUUUAUAUAUCCUAACUGGGUUAAUUUUUAAAAACAACUUGAUGUUAACUUCCCUUUUGCACAAUACCGCUGAUGAGGAGUUUUGGAUAUAACCUUAGACCUUUGAUUUGUGUACAGACUUUUAAAACCAGAAACAAUUUGGGAGAAACUUGUGAUUUAUGCAUCUAUGUACCAAAUGAUUUUAUUUAGUCCAGAUUAGUGACAGUGGGUAUUUAUUUAUUUAUUUUUACUUAAUCAAUCGGAAUUUCUCUCAUGCAUGUUUUCACUUCUGUGCUGAUGACACUGUAAGCAUCUCCACCAAACUAUCUCCCUCCAGCUUACAGCUUUAAUAGAGGAGUUUUAGUGAAGAGUAUGAGGAUUAACAGGAGGUUGAAGCUGUUUUUAUGAUCCUUUCUGCAUGCUAACACAGGGUGUAUUUCUUUGCUCUUGCAUGUGUGCUGUUAUCAUUCUAUGUAGACAGAGGGUUAGGCAGAUUGUAGGCUCUCAGAGAUCAUUUAUACUGAACACUGCAGACAUGUGAUUGUUAGCUUCAGGCCUGCUAUGUGAGGGUUUAUUGAUCUCAUGUCUUACUGAUGAUCAUGUUAGAGAGCCUCUAUGUGGUUAAUUGAUGAUUAAAUUCUUCCAGAUGCUUUCUAAACACUUUUGGUUGUGGGUUCAGAAACAGAUGGAGUAUCUGAUAUGGGCAUAAACCUCUACCUGGCAAGAUGAUGAAACUUGAUUUGAUCAUUGAUGGUUAUGAUUUGAUACAUAAAGACAGAUUCAAUCUGCAGUGAAGAUCUUAAAGAAGUGAAAGAGUGUGCCAGUCUUUAGUGGGGCUUCUUGCUUGAGAAUAUAUUCAGCUUUUUGAGUCAGAUAUGAAGGUAAUUCACAGAAUCCUCUCAUGAGAUUGGUUAUUACACUGAACCGUUCAGUUCAAAGAUGCCCACUUAAAAAACAAAAAAAAAACAAUUAAAUCUUGCCAGAAUAUGUGCUUCAUGCAAGAAGUACCAUUUUAUGGCCAGAAAAGUAUGUAUUUCUGACUAAUUCUUAUUUAUUUCUUGCAAGUUAUGGAGAAUACCCACCCCUAACUUACAACAAUGAAAAUCAGUGCUCUGAUAAAUAUUACCAUAUUUGUCCCCUGCUCAGUCUGUUGUAGUUGAUGACAGACUUUAAUUCAGGUCAUAACUCCGGCUGGGAAUUACUAAUUAUAAUGUGACUCUGUGUGAAGCAGGUGUCUUACCUGAGGGCAGUUUACCUGUGUGGUCUCUCCCAGAUUAAAAUGAACAUUUGGAGGAUCUGCUGUUGGAACUGUGAUCAGCAUGCCUGUCAUUAAAUUUGCUCUGAGGGCUUUAGCUCAUGUGGAGCUGAGGAAGAGGAGGAAGAGGGGGUAUUUAAUCAUAGAGGAAGCUGAGCAGUUAUUUAGACUCUUGGUACAAUCUGAAUGAGAAGCACAGCUACACACCAAUCUUUGCAAGUGCAAAUCAAAUCUUUGAGGACAAUGGUUGGUCACUGUUGAGUCUCUCAUUGUUUUGAUAAUCAGAUGCUUUGUAGUCAUGAAAUGGGUCAUUGUAUCAGGUGGAAUCUACAGUAUAAUUCCACUUAUUCUAUAUAAUAUUACUUUAAAACUUUUAUUAUUCAUCAUAGCAACUGGGAAACACACCAUGCCUUUAUUUGAGACAGGCAUCAAGACCUACUGAGCAAUUUUUGGUCUAAGAGAUCUAAUAGACGUCCAAAUGUAGCCUAGAAUCUAGGCCCUAGAUGACUGUCUAAAAUCAGGCUAUCGCAGGUCUGAAAAUGAAAGUUUUUUUCGACGUCUAAAUUCAGACCAAGUGUAGGCCAAGUCUAAAUCUGGGCUAUAUCUAUACUACACUGUAUAUUGCUCAACGGCUAUCAUAAUUAUUUUGGUUAAGUACUUGGAGAUCAGUUAUGCAACUCACAGUUGUUUUUUGAAAUAAAUAGUUAUUGAAUAAUGGGUUAAAGUGCAACAUCUAAAUUCUGUCUGAAAUUAUACAGAAUCUAGACAGUUGAAAUUAGACCUCAAAAGAAACUAGACGUCUAAUAGCCAUCUGUUGCUCAGUGGGGAAGAGAGAGAUCUUAAAUUAUUUGCUCAUGGUGGCUCUAUAACCUUUGAUAUCUUGGUAUGUAACAGGAGGUUACUGUUACUUCUCAAUUCAUAUAUGUGGUCGACAAAUACAUGGUACUAACUUUUAUAUGUAAUGUCCAAUCUGAUCCAAAUUUUACAGGUUUAGUAGUGGUCCCGGCCUGAAUUGAUUUACAUGUAUAUUUUUGUCAUAUUAAUGAUUAGAUGCAAGCACUAUUAACUCUCAUAUGCACUAUUGAACAAGCCUUUAGCAGUUGAGGACAUUAAAUGAAACAUGCAUGCUGAUCUACAUAUUUUAGGUCCAAAGUGAUUGCACCAGCUAUGGGUGCAGUGUUGCAGUUGCUGCACUACCACAGCCUUUUCACAACUGGCAGUUGCAACAUGACCAGAUGUGUGCGAAAGCGCAAAUUCCUAAUAAUGGAAAAAGAAAACAAAAAAAAAACAAAACAUGGCACUAAUAACCAGAUGAAGAUGAUCUAGAGGCAGCUUCUAUUUUAGAUCUGCAUUCUGAAUAGAGUCAUAGGAUUCAACUGGGACCGGUGUUUCAUCAAUGUUACAGGAUGUUUAUUAGUCUUUGACUAGUUUUUUGAUUGUGUUUUGUUGCUCUUUUAUCCGCACACACACACAAACACACACACACACAUCCUUUCUGCUGGAUGAGUCAGGGUCAGAGCAGCAGGUGAACUUCCCAUGAUGUCAGUGCUUUUCUACUUUUGUGUGUGUGAGUGUGAGUGUGUCUGCACCAUCUGUCUCCUCAUGCAGACUCUCUCUGGUAAAUUAAUAGAUGUUCAGAAUAGGCUGAGUUUUUGUUUUAUCAAGCUAAACACAGACAGUGAAACUUAAAGAAACAUCUGAUAUCAUUUAUUUAAACUCUCCUGGUCAGAUUAAAGCUGACACUACCUGCUCUUUUUAAAUCUGGAGGACAGGUGAGUUUUUCAGGUUCCCUUAAACCAGCUUUCACUCUUUUCUGUCUUCUUUAAUUCUUACCAUAUGACCACAUAAUAAGACAACAGAGACACUCAAAGCAGAACAAUUCUGCUCACAUAAGGAGUUAACAUGCACUCCUUUUUACAGCACUCCCUCUUCUCCUUUCUCUCUUUUUUCUGUCUUUGCAGGUUCUUCGUCUGAGCAUUUGUUUCCAUCAGCAAAGAAAGUGCCAGAAAAAAUAAAUCCACUUUCCCCACUUCAUGUCUUAAGCUUACCUGCUGCCAAAUCUGCUGUCAGCUCUUCUAUCAAAGCAGCAUCUCUGUCCUGUUAGUGUUCAUAAAACCACAAAUAGGUUUAUUAAUGAUUAUAGAUG